AUAUCUCAACCACGCCUCGGUGUGGCUUGGAUUUGGGGCUGUAGUAGUGCAGGCUUGGACUCGUAGUCUGCUCCCCUGAAAUACAUGAGUGGUACCUAACGCGAUGUGAUAAAUUAUCUGCAUCUUAUGAAAAGGUUAUGCCGCUACGUCGUUGGAGUUGAUAA
rnacentral:misc_RNA from 1 species